rnacentral:pre_miRNA from 1 species
AGACACCCUUCUGGGGCAAGACUUGCUUCAGUGGGGAUUUGGUGCCAAGACUUGCUUCAUUGGGGCUUCGGUGCUCACUGAGUCUGCCCCCUGAGUGUGUCCCU